rnacentral:rRNA from 1 species
GAGUUUGAUCAUGGCUCAGAUUGAACGCUGGCGGCAUGCCUUACACAUGCAAGUCGAACGGCAGCACGGGAGCUUGCUCCUGGUGGCGAGUGGCGAACGGGUGAGUAAUGCAUCGGAACGUAUCCUGGAGUGGGGGAUAACGUAGCGAAAGUUACGCUAAUACCGCAUAUUCUGUGAGCAGGAAAGCGGGGGACCUUCGGGCCUCGCGCCCUUGGAGCGGCCGAUGUCGGAUUAGCUAGUUGGUGAGGUAAAGGCUCACCAAGGCGACGAUCCGUAGCAGGUCUGAGAGGAUGAUCUGCCACACUGGAACUGAGACACGGUCCAGACUCCUACGGGAGGCAGCAGUGGGAAUUUUGGACAAUGGGCGAAAGCCUGAUCCAGCCAUGCCGCGUGUGUGAAGAAGGUCUUCGGAUUGUAAAGCACUUUAAGUUGGGUAGGAAGGGCAGUAAGUUAAUACCUUAGCUGUUUUGACGUUACCGACAGAAUAAGCACCGGCUAAACUCUGUGCCA